rnacentral:lncRNA from 1 species
UUCGCCGUGAUCAGCUGUCCUGUUGCAAACAACGGAAUUCGUAUCGAAUCAACAUCAUAAUCUUGUACAUAGUCCGCUAUUCUGCAGUGAUUUUCUUCCAAUCCAGUAUCAUUUGUACGUUGCAGCAUCAUCGAACACUAUGACCCAUGAAUCAGAAGAUAACGUAGAUGCUACGAGAGAGCUCAUUUCACAAUGGACAACAGAAGUGUUACGUGACUUUCUACAAGGAGGGGACUCAAGCUUGGAAAUCGAGUACCGGUAGUCAUUAUUUUAUGGGUGUUCUCUGCCUUGACUCUGGGGGUACUGUUCAGCCAUCCGAGGUAGAGAUAAACUGGACGAUGGAUGGAGAGGGGGGGGGGGGGGGGGGGGGGGGGGGAGAAAGGCAUGCAGACUGCAGAGCUGGUCGUCUACUAUGUAUAGAGACAUUUGUGUGUACCUAGUAGAUAAGGACCCUCCAUCACUAGAGGGAAGAAUGAGAGACUACAAAGAGGGAAAGGCAUUUAGUUAUUUUGCCAGUUUCUGGUUAGGGAGAUAUUUUUUUCAUCUCGUGGGAGAAAGCUGUCUGUAAUUCAAAAUCAUUUGAUACUUGAAUAAAUUUAGUUCAUUUUCUAGACUGUUUCAUGUCAAACCGUUGAUUCUACUUUCUUGUGAGUAUAGUCAGAGAGAUAGAGAAGUAACACGAGUAAA